rnacentral:rRNA from 1 species
AUUGAACGCUGGCGGCAUGCCUUACACAUGCAAGUCGAACGGCAGCACGGGUGCUUGCCCCUGGUGGCGAGUGGCGAACGGGUGAGUAAUACAUCGGAACAUGUCCUGUAGUGGGGGAUAGCCCGGCGAAAGCCGGAUUAAUACCGCAUACGAUCUACGGAUGAAAGCGGGGGACCUUCGGGACUCGCGCUAUAGGGUUGGCCGAUGGCGGAUUAGCUAGUUGGUGGGGUAAAGGCCUACCAAGGCGACGAUCAGUAGCUGGUCUGAGAGGACGACCAGCCACACUGGGACUGAGACACGGCCCAGACUCCUACGGGAGGCAGCAGUGGGGAAUUUUGGACAAUGGGCGAAAGCCUGAUCCAGCAAUGCCGCGUGUGUGAAGAAGGCCUUCGGGUUGUAAAGCACUUUUGUCCGGAAAGAAAUCCUUGGCUCUAAUACAGUCGGGGGAUGACGGUACCGGAAGAAUAAGCACCGGCUAACUACGUG